ensembl:snRNA
AUUUUGUAUUAAAGGAGAGAAGGCUAGAACUUCCUCUGACAAGGAUGUGGAAGCCCUCUGACCUGACGACAAGUGCACAGGUAAGGCAUUGCCAUCUACUUCGUGGCAUUUGACCAUUGUUUCU